ACUGUGAUACAUUUUUUGUUUAGAACUUUGAUAAAUAGAAAGUUCGGAAGAACAUCAUUUAUUUAAAAUAGAAAUCAUUGGUAACAUUGAUAAAUGUCUUUACUGUCUUGAUCAAUUUAGCAUCAUUGUGGUCAGAAGCCUGCUUUGCAUUGAGCUGCAUGCUUCAGUGCUCUGGAGGUCUUUAUAGAUCUGUGACUUUAUGAUUUCAUGACUGACAGCUCUCCUUUCUUGAUAACAGAUCAUAAAGCAAACAUGUCUUUAAUAGCCAUCAUUAUUUGGACGCUCACAACCUGCACCUGGAGUUCUGUGGGGCAGAUCCUGACUCAAUCUGAGGAUCAAACAGUGAAUCCUGAUCAAACUGUCACUAUUCACUGUAAACAAACACCAGCUGUGGUUUGUCGGAAAAAGGAUACCUCUCUGUAUUGCAUGUCCUGGUUCCAUCAGAUUCCUGGAGAAGCUCCUAAACUACUGACCUAUUACACAUCAGAGAGAGCUUCAGGUGUUUCUUCUAGAUUCAGUGGCAGUGAAAGUGGAAACCACAUGGAUUUUACUCUGACCAUCAGUGGAGUCCAGCCUGAAGAUUCAGGAGUUUAUUACUGUCAGAGUCUACAUAACAAGGGUGUCUCUGGCACCACAGACUGGGUGUUCACACAGUGUAGAAGCAUCGUACAAAAACCUUUUUGUGUGAGGCUGCAGCGCUGCAGCUUUGAGCUUCUGCAGAUGUUGAAGAUCAUUAUUCACCUCACUGACUUUACACACAAACACACACACAUACAUACAUACACAGAGACUCUUUAAGGCUGCUGAACUGUUGAUGUUCAUUGUUGUGACACACUCCUCAAAAGAUUAUUAAUUAUAAACAUCAAAAUGUCUCAGUCAAGUUUCCACAUGAAUUACAAUCCAAUAAAAUCCAUCCAACCUUGAUGAAAGCAAACUAACCAUGGCCAAAACAACUUCUUAAAUUUAUGUUUUAACUAACAAUAUGAUAAGUCUGGUUCAAUGUGAAAUAAGCCAUAAUCCA